AUGGACACAAUACUCAGGAAUCCUCCAAAAAUCAUCGAAACCAAAUUAGCCCUGCCUGCUUUAUCUUGUGCUGACCUAACAGCGGUACCUACAUGGCUGGAGAAAUGCAGGGAAAAUCUGCAUAAGUGGUCUGACUCUUCUGCAGAAAUGCAGGAAAAAGUUGUGUACACGACCCGAAGUGGUCGGACUCUUCGCAAAAGGGAGCUACGGACUGCCCUUUUUUUUACUGGCAAUGUACUUACCAAUUGGGGCUCUGAGCAAACCAACAAUAAUAUUUCACAGAUUAUCACAUCCAUGACAGCACAUGAAGGUAACUUUCUCUGGGGGUAA
rnacentral:rRNA from 1 species